rnacentral:rRNA from 1 species
AGGAGAAGUCGUAACAAGGUUUCCGUAGGGGAAACCUGCGGAAGGAUCAUUGAAUCUAUCAAUACCAACACCAGUGAACCUUUUUGUUCGGUCCUCGGGCUCGGAUUCAGUUCCUUGCCCGUGCAGCCGGGGCUCUUUCAUCGGGGCUCUCAGGCUGGGUUCGCCCUCAAGGCUUCAAACCCCUUGAGGUGUCGCGCUGGCCCCUUAACCAAUAACCAUUAACACCAAACCAAAACCUUUAUUGAAUCUUAUUAAAUGCGGCAGGCCAAGCCUACGCAUCUUAACUAAGACAACUCUCAACAACGGAUAUCUUGGCUCUCGCAACGAUGAAGAACGCAGCGAAAUGCGAUACGUAGUGUGAAUUGCAGAAUUCCGUGAACCAUCGAAUCUUUGAACGCAUAUGGCGCUCGAGGCUUCGGCCGAGAGCAUGUCUGCCUCAGCGUCGGGUUUAUAUCAUCCCUCUACUCCUUUUCUGUGAGUGAAGGAAUGGACCUGGCCGUUCCAGUUAAGCUUGCUUUCCCUUUGCGGGGCAAAGCGUCCAAGGCUCUGGAUCGGCUGAAGAGCAGAGCACUGAAUCAGGACCCAUACCAAAGGGCCGCAACUGGGUGGGCAAUCUUAAAACCAUUGCUGAAAGCUUUAGUUGUUGGCCUGGGCUUCUUGAUAGGCAGUCCUCCAACCAGGAACACAAACCCUCUUUAUAUCCUCGACCUGAGCUCAGG